CAAAGGUUUGGUCCUGGCCUUCCUAUUAGUUAUUAACAGAAUUACACAUGCAAGCCUCCACAUCCCGGUGAAGGUGCCCUCUAAAUCUAUUUAAACGAUUAAAAGGAGCGGGCAUCAGGCACACUAAAUAAGUAGCCCAUAACGCCUUGCUCAACCACACCCCCACGGGAUACAGCAGUGAUAAAAAUUAAGCCAUGAACGAAAGUUUGACUAAGCCAUGUUAAUAUUAAGAGUUGGUAAAUUUCGUGCCAGCCACCGCGGUCAUACGAUUAACCCAAAUUAAUAGGCUCACGGCGUAAAACGUGCUAAGGACUACAAAACACUAAAGUUAAAAUUUAACCAGGCCGUAAAAAGCUACUGUUAAUAUAAAAUAUACCACGAAAGUGACUUUAUCAUCCCCAACAACACGAUAGCUGGGACCCAAACUGGGAUUAGAUACCCCACUAUGCCCAGCCCUAAACACAAACAAUUUACACAACAAAAU
rnacentral:rRNA from 1 species